rfam:Felis catus isolate Cinnamon breed Abyssinian chromosome A2, whole genome shotgun sequence.
GCCUGGGUGGCUCAGUCGGUUGAGCAUCCAACUUCGACUCAGGUCAUGAUCUCACAUCUCGUGGGUUAGAGCCCCGCGUCAGGCU